rnacentral:snRNA from 1 species
GUGUUUGCUUUGGCAGCACAUAUACUAAAAUUGGAAUGAUACAGAGAAGAUUAGCAUGGCCCCUGUGCAAGGAUGACAUGCAAAUUCCUGAAGUGUUACAUAUUUAA